rnacentral:rRNA from 1 species
UGCGGAAGGAUCAUUAUCGAAAUUAUAGGUGAGGGUUGUAGCUGGCCUCUCGGGGCAUGUGCACGCCCGAGCCCUUAAUCCACACACACCUGUGAACCUAUUGUAAGGGCCCUUAAAAAAGGCCUUUACGUCUUAUCAUCAACCCAUCGUAUGUCUCAUAGAAUGUAAAUAUAUGUCCUCGCCUUAAAAAGCGUUGAUAAACUUAUACAACUUUCAACAACGGAUCUCUUGGCUCUCGCAUCGAUGAAGAACGCAGCGAAAUGCGAUAAGUAAUGUGAAUUGCAGAUUUUCAGUGAAUCAUCGAAUCUUUGAACGCACCUUGCGCUCCUUGGUAUUCCGAGGAGCAUGCCUGUUUGAGUGUCAUUAAAUUCUCAACUCUGAUCGAUUUGUUUCGACUUCGGAGCUUGGAUUUGGAGCGUGCUGGCGUCGGUCGGCUCCUCUUAAAUGCAUCAGCGGAAUCUAACGUUUCGGACGUCAGUGUGAUAAUCAUGUUGCGCUGUCUGUCUGAUCCGAAAGCCCGCUCAC